GGCGGCGUGAUGUAAUGGCUAACACAUCAGUCCGGUCUACUGAAGAUGCUGGUUCGCUCCCAGCCGCCUA